rnacentral:rRNA from 1 species
UGGGGAAUAUUGCACAAUGGGGGAAACCCUGAUGCAGCCAUGCCGCGUGUGUGAAGAAGGCCUUCGGGUUGUAAAGCACUUUCAGUUGUGAGGAAAGUUUAGUAGUUAAUACCUGCUAGAUGUGACGUUAGCAACAGAAGAAGCACCGGCUAACUCCGUGCCAGCAGCCGCGGUAAUACGGAGGGUGCGAGCGUUAAUCGGAAUUACUGGGCGUAAAGCGCACGCAGGCGGUCUGUUAAGCUAGAUGUGAAAGCCCCGCGCUCAACGUGGGAGGGUCAUUUAGAACUGGCAGACUAGAGUCUUGGAGAGGGGAGUGGAAUUCCAGGUGUAGCGGUGAAAUGCGUAGAGAU